rnacentral:snRNA from 1 species
GUGCUCGCUUUGGCAGCACAUAUACUAAAAUUGAAACGAUACAGAGAAGAUUAGCAUGGCCCCUGCACAAGGAUGACACACAAAUUCGUGAAGCAGUCCAUUUUUUU